rnacentral:misc_RNA from 1 species
CAGAACGAAAAGGUGGCGAGACUGUCGCUGGCUUGAAUGAGCAUGUGCACGUCUUUUGCUCCUUAUUUCAUUCUCCUUUCCACCUGUGCACUAUUUGUAGAUACUUGGGAUGGAGAGGUUGGUUCCUGACCUCUUGAAAAAGUCUGGGUGUCUAUGCAUUUUCUAUAUACACAGUUGCAUGUCUAUAGAAUGAGAUUAUAGGCUUUGUCAGCCUUUAAAUGAUAAAAUA